UACGUAGGGGGCAAGCGUUGUCCGGAUUUAUUGGGCGUAAAGCGCACGCAGGCGGUCUUUCGCGUUUCGAGUGACAGGUGAGGGCUUAACUCUCACAGGCCUUGGAAAACGGGAAGACUUGAGGACUUCAGAGGGACGCGGAAUUCCAGGUGGAGCGGUGAAAUGCGUAGAGAUCUGGAAGAACACCAAAAGCGAAGGCAAUUCACUGGCACAUUCCUGACACUGAAACACGAAAGCGUGGGUAGCGAAUGGG
rnacentral:rRNA from 1 species